rnacentral:sRNA from 1 species
CGCUGCUGCCCCUCGUGGGCGUUUCCUCCCUAGACUUCGGACCGCUCCUCGAGGGCGGUCUUUUUUUGUCCAACCG